rnacentral:pre_miRNA from 1 species
GGGUUACUAGGGCGGGGUCGACUGACUGGGCUUCCUUUAUUCUUUGGAUUAACUCGGGUUGGACUGCUAGGUGGCCCAU